rnacentral:rRNA from 1 species
AAAAACAUGGCUCUUUGAUUUCAAAUAUAAAGAGUCGGACCUGCCCAGUGAUAUUUCAACGGCCGCGGUACUUUGACCGUGCAAAGGUAGCAUAAUCAUUUGCCCUAUAAUUGAGGGCUUGUAUGAACGGUUUGACAAGAACAUAACUGUCUCUUUAAAAUUCUAUAAAAUUUGGUUUUUAGGUGAAGAAACCUAAAUAUAAUUGAAAGACAAGAAGACCCUAUCGAGCUUUAAAAUAAUAAGUAAAAAAUUAGUUUACUAUAGUUACUUUAAAUUUUAGUUGGGGCGACUGAGGAACAUAUAAAGCUUCCUCUAUAAAUAAAUGUUAUAAUAUGAUCCAAAAAAUUUGAUUAAAAAAAUUAGUUACCGUAGGGAUAACAGCAUGAUCUUUUUUGAGAGUUCUUAUCGAAAAAAAGGUUUGUGACCUCGAUGUUGGAUUAGGGUAUCCCUAAGAUGCAGAAGUCUUUGAGGUUGGUCUGUUCGACCAUUAAUACCCUACGUGAU